UAGUGAUUUCCUGCUUUGUAAAGCCGAACUGAGACGGGUGUUGAUAGUGAUAUCCUGCUUUAAAGCCGAACUGAGACGGGUGUUGAUAGUGAUAUCCUGCUUUGUAAAGCCUAACUGAGACGGGUGUUGAUAGUGAUAUCCUGCUUUAAAGCAUAACUGAGACGGGUCUUGAUAGUGAUAUCCUGCUUUGUAAAGCCGAACUGAGACGGGUGUUGAUAGUGAUAUCCUGCUUUAAAGCAUAACUGAGACGGGUCUUGAUAGUGAUAUCCUGCUUUGUAAAGCCGAACUGAGACGGGUGUUGAUAGUGAUAUCCUGCUUUAAAGCCGAACUGAGACGGGUGUUGAUAGUGAUAUCCUGCUUUGAAGCCGAACUGAGACGGGUCUUGAUAGUGAUUUCCUGCUUUGUAAAGCAUAACAGACGGGUGCUGAUGGUGAUAUCCUGCUUUGUAAAGCCGAACUGAGACGGGUGUUGAUAGUGAUAUCCUGCUUUGUAAAGCCGAACUGAGACGGGUGUUGAUAGUGAUAUCCUGCUUUAAAGCCGAACUGAGACGGGUGUUGAUAGUGAUAUCCUGCGUUGAAGCCGAACUGAGACGGGUGUUGAUGGUGAUAUCCUGCUUUGUAAAGCCGAACUGAGACGGGUGUUGAUAGUGAUUUCUUGCUUUGUAAAGCCUAACAGACGGGUGCUGAUGGUGAUAUCCUGCUUUAAAGCCGAACUGAGACGGGUGUUGAUGGUGAUAUCCUGCUUUAAAGCAUAACUGAGACGGGUGCUGAUGGUGAUAUCCUGCUUUGUAAAGCAUAACUGAGACGGGUCUUGAUAGUGAUUUCCUGCUUUGUAAAGCCUAACUGAGACGGGUGUUGAUAGUGAUAUCCUGCUUUGUAAAGCCUAACUGAGACGGGUGCUGAUGGUGAUAUCCUGCUUUGUAAAGCCUAACUGAGACGGGUGUUGAUAGUGAUAUCCUGCUUUGUAAAAUAGGGACUUAAUAGUGCCAGCUACAGGACGGUACUCACUGAGUCUGCGUUUAAGAUUUCGCCUCUAUCUUAUGUGUGGCACUGCUGAAAUUGACUAUAUUUUUGUUUUAUUCAACUGUAAAUAGUUGUGCACAUACUGUACUUGAAUUGUGAAAAGUUUUCGAGCUGCUGCCUAUUUUAAACCAUUGAGCACAAGUACUGUGGUCUGUAGCUCCGUGUGUGUGUGUGUGUGUGUGUGUGUGUGUGUGUGUGUGUGUGUGUGUGUGUGUGUGUGUGAGUGUGAUGACCUCUACAGGAGCUCCAUGUGAUCAAUGUUCCUUCACAAUGCAGUAAAAAUGUACGUUUGCACAACACUGGAGCGGUGCUUGCAGGUGUAGGGGUUUGAAGAGGUUAUCGGGCUCUUUUCCACCGUUAUACUAACCUUUUUCUACAUGGGGGAGUCUCCGCGUUAAAUGGCCCCCCUGCUGCAGCGCUGGUUUUCAUCUGCUGUACUGCGGCUCUGUUCGGGUUCCCCUCGUGCACUAUUUCAUGCUGCCAUUUUCCCACAAUUCCCUGCCUUGCCCUCUGUUUCCCCGCAUGGCCAAACCCCUUUGCAUACCAGCACACCUCGCUCCCUCUCUCGUCUAUUGCCACAUGGGUGCCCGGUCAGUUUGCCUGAUCCACCAUCGUUUCCUCCGCCCUGUUCUGUAGAGAUGAGGUUUAAUAUCCGGGGGAUGGGGGGGGGGGGGGGGAUGUUCGCCAUUGGCCUUCGCUUGGGUUUGACCAGAGGCUUUUUUCUGCUUCUUAAGAAACUGCAGCUAAGUCUGAACAAGAACAGGCCACCUGGCGAUGGUGGGUGAUGUAGUGCUCCUUAACUCCUUUACUGUGGCACCAGUAAAGGUCGGGACUGUGGGCUGCGGCUUUGCGGAGAGACGUCCAGCUUACUUUACAUUUUUUUUGCCCUGCGAAGUACGCAGGUAUUUCAUCACAGAUUCUAGAAAGUCUGCAGAGUGUCUAUUUUGUUUUCUCACACGCACAAUGAAUUAUCAGAUAAAUAGACUGACUGACUCUCUGGGGAGUUGAGUACCUUAGGGACUUUUGCGCCCUCUAGCUGCCAGCGUCCGUCAGCUCCUUAAAGUGUGUUGGGCCUCUGCGGUAAAGGAAAACCACUAUUUAACCAGUGCUGCAUGUUUGCACAAAUAUAUGUAACCUUUUUAACCAAGAAUAACUUCACCCGUGUGUUUUUUUUACAAAGCUUUCGGUAUGAAGCUGCUGAUCGACGGGCUCCAUGUACAAACACGGAAUGUACGGCCACUUUUCACGUGACUCUGAAUGUUCUGUGAGGGUCCG